UAAUCUCACCUUUUCGACUUUUUGUUGAUCAGUGUGGACUUGGAUGUUGCCGUGUAACAGACGGCUCGUCUGAAAUGCCUGAGUGUACCCUGCUUUGCGGCGUAUUCGGUGUGAUAAAUCUUCACCGGAGUUGACUUUCGGGUCGCGUUUGCUUAACAUCAUGGCUCUAUGCUUCCAACCGUCCUGACAGGACAAAUCUUUGACA
rnacentral:misc_RNA from 1 species